rnacentral:rRNA from 1 species
GGACCAAGGAGUCUAGCAUGUGCGCGAGUCAUUGGGACUCCGUUAAACCUAAAGGCGCAAUGAAAGUAAAGGUCCGCCUCGCGCGGACCGAGGGAGGAUGGGUCCGUCCCCGGACGGGCCCCGCACUCCCGGGGCGUCUCGUUCUCAUCGCGAGGAGAGGCGCACCCAGAGCGUACACGCUGGGACCCGAAAGAUGGUGAACUAUGCCUGGUCAGGACGAAGUCAGGGGAAACCCUGAUGGAGGUCCGUAGCGAUUCUGACGUGCAAAUCGAUCGUCGGAACUGGGUAUAGGGGCGAAAGACUAAUCGAACCUUCUAGUAGCUGGUUCCCUCCGAAGUUUCCCUCAGGAUAGCUGGCGCUCGCCUUUCGCGAGUCUCAUUCGGUAAAGCGAAUGAUUAGAGGCAUUGGGGUCGAAACGGCCUCAACCUAUUCUCAAACUUUAAAUGGGUGAGAUCUCCGGCUUGCUUGAAGCGUGAAGCCGCGAGAUAUCGGAUCAGAGUGCCAAGUGGGCCACUUUUGGUAAGCAGAACUGGCGCUGUGGGAUGAACCAAACGCAGAGUUAAAGCGCCGAAAUCGACGCUUAUGGGAUACCAUGAAAGGCGUUGGUAACUUAAGACAGCAGGACGGUGGCCAUGGAAGUCGGA